GACGAACGCUGGCGGCGUGCUUAACACAUGCAAGUCGAACGGAAAGGCCCUGCUUUUGUGGGGUGCUCGAGUGGCGAACGGGUGAGUAACACGUGAGUAUCCUGCCCUUGUCUUUGGGAUAACUUCAGGAAACUGGGGCUAAUAUCGGAUAGGAGCUCCUGCUGCAUGGUGGGGGUUGGAAAGUUUCGGCGGUUGGGGAUGGACUCGCGGCUUAUCCGCUUGUUGGUGGGGUAGUGGCUUACCAAGGCUUUGACGGGUAGCCGGCCUGAGAGGGUGACCGGCCACAUUGGGACUGAGAUACGGCGCAGACUGCUACGGGAGGCAGCAGGGGGGAAUAUUGCACAAUGGGCGGAAGCCUGAUGCAGCAACGCCGCGUGCGGGAUGACGGCCUUCGGGUUGUAAACAGCUUUCGACGGUGACGAAGCGUGAGUGACGGUAAUGGGUAAAGAAGCACCGGCUAACUACGUG
rnacentral:rRNA from 1 species